GACGAACGCUGGCGGCGUGCUUAACACAUGCAAGUCGAACGGAAAGGCCCUGCUUUUGUGGGGUGCUCGAGUGGGGAACGGGUGAGUAACACGUGAGUAACCUGCCCUUGACUUUGGGAUAACUUCAGGAAACUGGGGCUAAUACCGGAUAGGAGCUCCUGCUGCAUGGUGGGGGUUGGAAAGUUUCGGCGGUUGGGGAUGGACUCGCGGCUUAUCAGCUUGUUGGUGGGGUAGUGGCUUACCAAGGCUUUGACGGGUAGCCGGCCUGAGAGGGUGACCGGCCACAUUGGGACUGAGAUACGGCCCAGACUCCUACGGGAGGCAGCAGUGGGGAAUAUUGCACAAUGGGCGGAAGCCUGAUGCAGCAACGCCGCGUGCGGGAUGACGGCCUUCGGGUUGUAAACCGCUUUCGCCUGUGACGAAGCGUGAGUGACGGUAAUGGGUAAAGAAGCACCGGCUAACUACGUG
rnacentral:rRNA from 1 species